CAGUAGCCACGGUAAUACAGAGGGUGCAAGCGUUAAUCGGAAUUACUGGGCGUAAAGCGUGCGCAGGCGGUUAUAUAAGACAGAUGUGAAAUCCCCGGGCUCAACCUGGGAACUGCAUUUGUGACUGUAUAGCUAGAGUACGGCAGAGGGGGAUGGAAUUCCGCGUGUAGCAGUGAAAUGCGUAGAUAUGCGGAGGAACACCGAUGGCGAAGGCAAUCCCCUGGGCCUGUACUGACGCUCAUGCACGAAAGCGUGGGGAGCAAACAGGAUUAGAUACCCGCGUAGUCCCUGUCUCUUAUAA
rnacentral:rRNA from 1 species